UUUGCCUACGGGGGGCAGCAGUUAGGAAUAUUCGUCAAUGGGGGAAACCCUGAACGAGCAAUGCCGCGUGAAGGAUGACGGUCCUCUGGAUUGUAAACUUCUGUUGUUAGGGAAGAACGACCUAAGUAGGAAAUGACUUAGGAGUGACGGUACCUUUCAAGAAAGCUCCGGCUAACUACGUGCCAGCAGCCGCGGUAAUACGUAGGGAGCGAGCGUUAUCCGGAUUUAUUGGGUGUAAAGGGUGCGUAGGCGGCUUUUUAGGUCUAAGGUUUAAGCCCGGAGCUUAACUCCGGUUCGCCUUAGAA
rnacentral:rRNA from 1 species